rnacentral:rRNA from 1 species
CCUACGGGAGGCAGCAGUGAGGAAUAUUGGGCAAUGGGGGCAACCCUGACCCAGCCAUGCCGCGUGAAUGAAGAAGGUCUUCGGAUUGUAAAGCUCUUUCGGACGGGACGAAGAUUACAGUAGCCUCUUAAGAAGCCCCGGCCAACUUCGUGCCAGCAGCCGCGGUAAUACGAAGGGUGCGAGCGUUGUUCGGAAUUACUGGGCGUAAAGGGAGUGUAGGCGGAUAUGUAAGAUAGCGGUGAAAUGCCGGGGCUCAACCCCGGAAAUGCCAUUAUGACUGUGUAUCUAGAGUAAUGGAGAGGAAAGCGGAAUACCCGGUGUAGCGGUGAAAUGCGUAGAUAUUGGGUAGAACACCGGUGGCGAAGGCGGCUAUCUGGCCAUUAACUGACGCUGAGGCUCGAAAGCAUGGGGAUCAAACAGGAUUAGAUACCCGUGUAGUC